CCCCUCUCAGGGUCGCACCUGGAGUUCCCAGGACCCUACCAGUCUCGGAAACGGGAGGGAGAGUCAAGCAGAGGCCUACUCACUCCAUUCCUAGUUUGGACAGUGGUUAGCGAGUGGAAGGCAAUCUGCUACAAGU